rnacentral:rRNA from 1 species
GUGGAUUAGAUACCCUGGUAGUCCACGCUGUAAACGAUGAAUACUAGGUGUGGGGGGACUAACCCCCUCCGUGCCGGAGUUAACACAAUAAGUAUUCCACCUGGGGAGUACGGCCGCAAGGUUGAAACUCAAAGGAAUUGACGGGGGCCCGCACAAGCAGUGGAUUAUGUGGUUUAAUUCGAAGCAACGCGAAGAACCUUACCAGGGCUUGACAUCCAACUAACGAAGCAGAGAUGCAUUAGGUGCCCUUCGGGGAAAGUUGAGACAGGUGGUGCACGGCCGUCGCCAACU